CCUACGGGAGGCUGCAGUGAGGAAUAUUGGGCAAUGGGCGAAAGCCUGACCCAGCGACGCCGCGUGUAGGAUGAAGUCCUUCGGGAUGUAAACUACUGUCAGGGACUAGAAAGUUUCGAUUGAUCGGUCCCAGAGGAAGUCACGGCUAACUUCGUGCCAGCAGCCGCGGUAAUACGAAGGUGGCAAGCGUUGUUCGGAAUCACUGGGCUUAAAGGGCGCGUAGGCGGAUCAGAAAGUGUCUUGUGAAAUACCCCGGCUUAACCGGGGAAUGGCUCGGCAAACUACUGGUCUUGAGGCAAGUAGGGGUGUGUGGAACUCUUGGUGGAGCGGUGGAAUGCGUAGAUAUCAAGAGGAACGCCGAAGGUGAAGACAGCACACUGGACUUGCCCUGACGCUGAGGCGCGAAAGCGUGGGGAGCAAACAGGCUUAGAUACCCUUGUAGUC
rnacentral:rRNA from 1 species